ensembl:lincRNA
AACACCUUGUUGCUGUUACUGUUUUAGUGAUUUCUUCUUGGCUUACUCUGCUCAUUCUGAAUGGGAAAAUAGCUAUGUUUAUGGGCCUGGGGGAGUGAAGAUGUGGUCACAAAGGAGAAGGAAAGGCUAGAAAUUACAAAUGUCCAGCACUUUGACUCUAUGUGUUAGUUAUGUGUGGUCAGAAUUUUGUAAAAUGACUUAAUUUUGUUCAUCCAGAGAAUAGCACAGGAAAGGCCAGAAGGUUUAUGAGAAAACUCAGGUGAAUUCGAGGAUGGCCUAACUGAAAGAACACCACAUAAUUCCAGACUCACGAACUCAGUCCAGCGAGGCUCAAGGGGAGUUAUAAAGUCCUCUGGAACUCGGUUCUGGGCUCUCAGACCUUGCAGGAGAGGACAGCAAAGGAAGGUUUUCAUCUGCACUGCCAAAACUGAGUGGUGGGCCGGCAGCCAGGUGGUCUUUGCAAGGUGCAAGGAGGCAUGAAUAUCAUGGAAGCCAUGGAGCGCUUUGGGUCCAGGAAGAGCAAGACCAGCAAGAUCACCAUUGCCAAAUGUGGACAACUCCAAUAAAUUUGAUUUGUGUUUCUCUUAAUCACCAGAGCAUUCCUUCUGUAGCUCAGGAGAGCACACUUCCACCCAUGUGUUCAUAAUAUCCUAUAAUUUUCAUGCUCUUGCUGAAGUUUUUGGAGCUUGUUUUUUUAAUU